GACGAACCACACGAACGUUAUUCGGAAUUACUGGGCUUAAAGGGUGCGUAGGCGGCGCGGUAAGUAGGGUGUGAAAUCCCUCGGCUCAACCGAGGAACUGCGCUCUAAACUACCGUGCUUGAGGGAGAUAGAGGUGAGCGGAACUUGCGGUGGAGCGGUGAAAUGCGUUGAUAUCGCAAGGAACACCAGUGGCGAAAGCGUCUCACUGGGUCUUUUCUGACGCUGAGGCACGAAAGCUAGGGGAGCGAAGAGG
rnacentral:rRNA from 1 species